rnacentral:rRNA from 1 species
AGGUAAUGGCUCACCAAGGCGUCGACGGGUAGCCGGCCUGAGAGGGUGACCGGCCACACUGGGACUGAGACACGGCCCAGACUCCUACGGGAGGCAGCAGUGGGGAAUAUUGCACAAUGGGCGGAAGCCUGAUGCAGCAACGCCGCGUGAGGGAUGACGGCCUUCGGGUUGUAAACCUCUUUUAGCAGGGAAGAAGCGAAAGUGACGGUACCUGCAGAAAAAGCGCCGGCUAACUACGUGCCAGCAGCCGCGGUAAUACGUAGGGCGCAAGCGUUAUCCGGAAUUAUUGGGCGUAAAGAGCUCGUAGGCGGUUUGUCGCGUCUGCUGUGAAAACCCGAGGCUCAACCUCGGGCCUGCAGUGGGUACGGGCAGACUAGAGUGCGGUAGGGGAGAUUGGAAUUCCUGGUGUAGCGGUGGAAUGCGCAGAUAUCAGGAGGAACACCGAUGGCGAAGGCAGAUCUCUGGGCCGUAACUGACGCUGAGGAGCGAAAGGGUGGGGAGCAAACAGGCUUAGAUACCCUGGUAGUCCACCCCGUAAACGUUGGGAACUAGUUGUGGGGUCCAUUCCACGGAUUCCGUGACGCAGCUAACGCAUUAAGUUCCCCGCCUGGGGAGUACGGCCGCAAGGCUAAAACUCAAAGGAAUUGACGGGGACCCGCACAAGCGGCGGAGCAUGCGGAUUAAUUCGAUGCAACGCGAAGAACCUUACCAAGGCUUUGACAUACACGAGAACGCUGCAGAAAUGUAGAACUCUUUGGACACUCGUGAACAGGUGGUGCAUGGGUUGUCGUCAGCUCGUG